rnacentral:rRNA from 1 species
UGGUGGAGUGAUUUGUCUGGUUAAUUCCGUUAACGAACGAGACCUCAGCCUACUAAAUAGACAGACGCAGCUCCGGCUGCGGGCUCUGUCUUCUUAGAGGGACUGUCGGUGUUUAGCCGAAGGAAGUUUGAGGCAAUAACA